GAUGAACGCUGGCGGCGUGCCUAAUACAUGCAAGUCGAGCGAACAGACGAGGAGCUUGCUCCUCUGACGUUAGCGGCGGACGGGUGAGUAACACGUGGAUAACCUACCUAUAAGUCUGGGAUAACUUCGGGAAACCGGAGCUAAUACCGGAUAAUAUAUUGAGCCGCAUGGUUCAAUAGUGAAAGACGGUUUUGCUGUCACUUAUAGAUGGAUCCGCGCCGCAUUAGCUAGUUGGUAAGGUAACGGCUUACCAAGGCGACGAUGCGUAGCCGGCCUGAGAGGGUGAUCGGCCACACUGGAACUGAGACACGGUCCAGACUCCUACGGGAGGCAGCAGUAGGGAAUCUUCCGCAAUGGGCGAAAGCCUGACGGAGCAACGCCGCGUGAGUGAUGAAGGUCUUCGGAUCGUAAAACUCUGUUAUUAGGGAAGAACAAAUGUGUAAGUAACUAUGCACGUCUUGACGGUACCUAAUCAGAAAGCCACGGCUAACUACGUG
rnacentral:rRNA from 1 species